rnacentral:rRNA from 1 species
UUUCGCAAUGCCCGAAAGGGUAACGAAGCGACGCCGCGUGUGGGAAGAAGGCCUUCGGGUUGUAAACCACUGUCGGGAGUUAGGAAAUGCAGGUGCGUUAAUAGCGCACUUGCUUGACUAAGGCUCCAGAGGAAGCCACGGCUAACUCUGUGCCAGCAGCCGCGGUAAUACAGAGGCGGCAAGCGUUGUUCGGAAUUAUUGGGCGUAAAGAGCACGUAGGCGGCCUUGCAAGUCAGUUGUGAAAGCCUUCCGCUUAACGGAAGAACGGCAUCUGAUACUACAGGGCUUGAGUACGGGAGGGGAGAGUGGAACUUCUGGUGGAGCGGUGAAAUGCGUAGAUAUCAGAAGGAACGCCGGCGGCGAAAGCGACUCUCUGGUCCGAAACUGACGCUGAGUGUGCGAAAGCUAGGGGAGCAAACGGGAUUAGAUACCCCGGUAGUCCUAGCCGUAAACGAUGGGCACUAAGUAGAGGGGUUUU